GAUGAACGCUGGCGGCGUGCCUAAUACAUGCAAGUCGAGCGAACAGAUGAGGAGCUUGCUCCUCUGACGUUAGCGGUGGACGGGUGAGUAACACGUGGAUAACCUACCUAUAAGACUGGGAUAACUUCGGGAAACCGGAGCUAAUACCGGAUAAUAUAUUGAACCGCAUGGUUCAAUAGUGAAAGACGGUUUUGCUGUCACUUAUAGAUGGAUCCGCGCCGCAUUAGCUAGUUGGUAAGGUAACGGCUUACCAAGGCAACGAUGCGUAGCCGACCUGAGAGGGUGAUCGGCCACACUGGAACUGAGACACGGUCCAGACUCCUACGGGAGGCAGCAGUAGGGAAUCUUCCGCAAUGGGCGAAAGCCUGACGGAGCAACGCCGCGUGAGUGAUGAAGGUCUUCGGAUCGUAAAACUCUGUUAUUAGGGAAGAACAAAUGUGUAAGUAACUAUGCACGUCUUGACGGUACCUAAUCAGAAAGCCACGACUAACUACGUG
rnacentral:rRNA from 1 species